GACGAACGCUGGCGGCGUGCUUAACACAUGCAAGUCGAACGGAAAGGCCUGCUUUCCCUUGUGGAUUGCGGGUACUCGAGUGGCGAACGGGUGAGUAACACGUGAGUGAUCUGCCCCCAACUUGGGUAUAAGCCUGGGAAACUGGGUCUAAUUCCCGAUAGGACUGCAGGGUGGUGCCUGUGGUGGAAAACGAUUUUCUAGUGGUUGGGGAUGAGCUCGCGGCCUAUCAGCUUGUUGGUGGGGUAAUGGCCUACCAAGGCGGCGACGGGUAGCCGGCCUCAGAUGGUCGACGGCCACAUUGGGACUGAGAUACGGCCCAGACUCCUACGAGAGGCAGCAGUGGGGAAUAUUGCACAAUGAGCGGAAGCCUGAUGCAGCGACGCCGCGUGGGGGAUGACGGGCUUCGAGUUGUAAACUCCUUUCGACCACGAGAAAGCCACCUGGUUGGAAGGGUGGUGACGGUAGUGGUAGAAGAAGCACCGGCUAACUACGUG
rnacentral:rRNA from 1 species